rnacentral:misc_RNA from 1 species
AAGUCGUAACAAGGUUUCCGUAGGUGAACCUGCGGAAGGAUCAUUAUCAACGUUAUCCACGUACUAACCAUUACCAAAAAUGUGAACCGUCUCAAUCCUCUGAGUGAAGCGGUUGGAAGUGCGAUUGCUUUGAUUGUUUUCAAAGCAAACGCUGUCUUUCUCAGAGUGUAUUUUCUAACUACACUUCCUAACACAAUCACUAUUAACCUAUUGAACCGAAACUAAAUUUACUUCUUUACUGUGAACUGAAUUAUCAUUCUUUUACUGUUUUCAAACGUUAACAGUGAAGGAUGAUCAAUUUACGAAACGAAUAAGAACAACUCUUAGCAACGGAUAUCUUGGUUCUC